GUCCGCCUGCCCUGUGACAAUGUUUAACGGCCGCGGUAUUUUGACCGUGCGAAGGUAGCGUAAUCACUUGUCUUUUAAAUGAAGACCUGUAUGAAAGGCAUCACGAGAGUUUAACUGUCUCUAUUUUCUAAUCAAUGAAAUUGAUCUUCUCGUGCAGAAGCGAGAAUACCACCAUAAGACGAGAAGACCCUAUGGAGCUUUAAACACUUAAAUCAAUUAUGUACAUCUAAACACCAAAAGGUACAACUACUUAUACAAUACUCCUGAUUCAACUGUUUUUGGUUGGGGUGACCAAGGGGAAAAGAAAAUCCCCCUUAUCGACUGAGUACUCAGUACUUAAAAACUAGAGCAACAACUCUAAUUGAUAGAACAUCUAUCGAAAAAUGACCCAGAAUAUUCUGAUCAAUGAACCAAGUUACCCUAGGGAUAACAGCGCAAUCCUUUCCCAGAGUCCCUAUCGCCGAAAGGGUUUACGACCUCGAUGUUGGAUCAGGACAUCCUAAUGGUGCAACCGCUAUUAAGGGUUCGUUUGUUCAACGAUUAAUAGUCCUACGUGAUCUG
rnacentral:rRNA from 1 species